GACGAACGCUGGCGGCGUGCUUAACACAUGCAAGUCGUACGGUAAGGCCCUUUCGGGGGUAUACGAGUGGCGAACGGGUGAGUAACACGUGAGUAACCUGCCCACAACUUUGGGAUAACGCUAGGAAACUGGUGCUAAUACUGGAUAUGUGCUCCUGCUGCAUGGUGGGGGUUGGAAAGCUCCGGCGGUUGUGGAUGGACUCGCGGCCUAUCAGCUUGUUGGUGGGGUAGUGGCCUACCAAGGCGGCGACGGGUAGCCGGCCUGAGAGGGUGACCGGCCACAUUGGGACUGAGAUACGACCCAGACUCCUACGGGAGGCAGCAGUGGGGAAUAUUGCACAAUGGGCGCAAGCCUGAUGCAGCAACGCCGCGUGCGGGAUGACGGCCUUCGGGUUGUAAACCGCUUUCAGCAGGGACGAAGCUUUUUGUGACGGUACCUGCAGAAGAAGCACCGGCUAACUACGUG
rnacentral:rRNA from 1 species